UCUAUGCUAUGGGAGGAGCCAAGUCUGCUAGCUGUUGAGAUGCUUCGUAGGGCUCACAAGAUUGCUCCUGAAUGUCUGACACAAGCUGAUACUGACUCAUCUAUCAAAUUUCACAACUUGGUUAAAAACACAUCAUAAUAUGUGUCAAUCAGUUCAACUCCCAUUUCUUCCUCUUGCUGAUCUCCAGUCAUCUUUAAGGCCUGCUCCCUCCUAAUGUCUGUGGACAUCCAUCCUGAAGCCGAUUCUCCAGAAACCACUAGCCCAGAAGGCUCUUGUCUCUGUAAUUCACUCCACAAGCUUUGGCUUCUGAGAAAAAGGAGUUUGUUUGUUUGUCACUUAUUGUAAUUGAUUUGUUUCUUCCUAACUGUGUACUGAUUUCCUUAGCUUCAGACAGCAAAUCUGGAGCUGAGAGCUCCAGGAAGUCAUUAUUAGCUGCACAUCACUUGCCAUGCUGGAAGCAUGGAUUUAGAUGGCCCUAGAGAUGAAAAGCGUUUGGGAAGAGUGAGGACCAGAGCUAAGGUAGUUUUGUGUGGAGAAGAGAAGUUUGAAAAGGUCUCAAAAGGGUCAAGAAGGAAUGUACAAAAACACACAGACCUCCCUAUCCUUGCCGUAAUUCUGGACACGGGGUUCCAUUGAAAAAAUCAUAGCCACCCAAACUUGGCCACCAUAGAGCUUUUGUAGUGACCACUGUCCCUGUGUAUAGUUUGGGGUCCAAAGUGUCUCAGAUAUGAGAUGAUUCUUCCUUGGUAAGGGAAUGAAUGACAGCAAAAUUUUGGAAGCUAAAAUGUUAGGCCUUGGUGUGGCCUUUUAUCUCCCUUAGACAUACAGGCAAUCGGUUCCACCUGCCGGCUGCCCUGUGCUACCUGCUCUUCAAGGGCAGGAUUCUAAGUGUCAGGUCUUAACUAUUCCUGCAUCAGACCAAUCUAUCUCUGUUUCUAAUGAUGAUCAUUGAGGAAACCAAUGUGGUGUAUACAUGCACUUCCCCACAGAAACCUUUAUCAACACAUUUUAUAUGUGGUCUUUCUCCUUCACAUGCCACACUCCAAAGAUCACCUGAGAGCAGGUUUUCAGGCCAUAUGCAAGGGAAAUAUUGAAGAGAUUUUCAGCAAGUUCUCAAACUUCAUCACCACUCUUCCAUUGGCUUAUACCACAGAGAUGAACGUAGUGCCUCCUCUAAGAUAGUGAAAUUAAAAGUAGCAUUUCUGAAACAA